rnacentral:rRNA from 1 species
CACGUGGAGGGGCAAGCGUUGUCCGGAUUUAUUGGGCGUAAAGAGCUCGUAGGUGGUUCGGUAAGUCGGGUGUUAAACCCCCAGGCUCAACCUGGGGACGCCACUCGAUACUGCUGUGACUAGAGUCCGGUAGGGGAGCGUGGAAUUCCUGGUGUAGCGGUGAAAUGCGCAGAUAUCAGGAGGAACACCAGCGGCGAAGGCGGCGCUCUGGGCCGGUACUGACACUGAGGAGCGAAAGCGUGGGUAGCAAACAGG